UUAGGUACUUGAAUAAACUCUUAUUGUUUUUUUAUUGAAAAAAUGAACGCUCUAUUAAAAAAAAAGUGUUUUGUGUGUUAUUUUAAUAGCGAAUAGCAUGAUUUCUUGUAUAAUCUUUAUCGUGUGCACGCUUCAAGUUGUCCACCCUUGUAUCUUGUACACUCUGUAGAUUAUUUUGCUUAUACACCAAAGACAUUAUAUACUACUGGCACGAAGGUGCUGAAACAAGGAGCAAAGCCACCUUGUCAAGCAAAUACAGUUUAUAUAUAUCUCUGUCUAUACAAUGAGUGUAUCCACACGAAAGGGUAGAUUUGUUAAAGAACAGAAGUAGUGCUUACCGUCAACAGACUUCAGACCGAAGAAGUCGUCAAAAAAAGUUGCUCGAAUGAGUCCAUCUUCUCAUAGCAAGAGCUAAACUAUAUCAGAAAAGAUAACACUGGCAGGCCCAUUCGGUCAGCGUGCUUGCCGCCCAGCCGGUAUCCUGUAAUAGCAGCAACCAUUUUGCUUAUAGAGGCCUUUUGAAGUGAAAUAUAAUCUUCGGAACGCCUACAAUUUUAGUCAGACCACUGUCUCUCUUCUCCUAUAGUAACUUCCACAAGUGUGUUCCUGCCCCCAUCUAAGAUUUAUCUUACUAAAGAUAUUCUCAUUAAGGAGCAGCUUGCAGUUCGCUCCCGGAUGAUUAUUGAUGCCUGUGUCAUUUCUAGAAAAGGUCACCGGCUUCAUAAUUCCCUGGAAUGUCCUGGUACUCAUACCAGGU